rnacentral:rRNA from 1 species
GAGCACGUAGGUGGGUUUGUAAGUCAGAUGUGAAAGCCUUCUGUUCAACGGGAGAAUUGCAUCUGAAACUGCUAAUCUUGAGUAUAGGAGGGGAGAAUGGAACUUCUGGUGGAGCGGUGAAAUGCGUAGAUAUCAGAAGGAACGCCGGCGGCGAAAGCGAUUCUCUGGCCUAUUACUGACACUCAGUGUGCGAAAGCUAGGGGAGCAAACGGGAUAGAUACCCCGAGCCAGCAAU